AUGAAUGAGUUCCUUACUGCUGAGUUCACGGCGGAUGAGGUAAAAAUUGCUCUUGAUAGCAUGGGGGAUCUCAAGGCGCCUGGUAUGGAUGGAUUACCGGCUGUCUUCUAUAAGCACUAUUGGCAUUUGGUUGGUGAUACCGUGGUACAUGAGGUUUUGCAUGUGUUGCGUGGCGGCAGAAUGCCAGAGGGAUGGAACGACACUCUUGUAGUGCUAAUCCCAAAGGUUCAGAACCCCGAAACUAUGAAGGAUCUACGCCCUAUUAGCCUAUGCAACGUGGUGUAUAAACUCGUGUCCAAGGUAUUGGCAAAUCGGCUCAAGAACAUCUUGGGUGAGGUUAUCUCACCGAACCAAAGUGCCUUUGUACCGGGGAGGAUGAUUCGGAUAAUACUAUUCUUGCCUACGAGAUGA
rnacentral:rRNA from 1 species